rnacentral:rRNA from 1 species
CCUACGGGAGGCAGCAGUGAGGAAUUUUGCGCAAUGGGGGAAACCCUGACGCAGCAACGCCGCGUGAGUGAUGAAGGCUUUCGGGUCGUAAAGCUCUGUCAAGUGAGAAGAACCUGCCCUUUGCUAAUAUCACAGGGCACUGACGGUACCACUGAAGGAAGCACCGGCUAACUCCGUGCCAGCAGCCGCGGUAACACGGGGGGUGCAAGCGUUAUUCGGAAUCACUGGGCGUAAAGAGCGCGUAGGCGGUCUCUUAAGUCAGAUGUGAAAGCCCGGGGCUCAACCCCGGAAGUGCAUUUGAAACUAAGGGACUUGAGUAUGGGAGAGGGAAGUGGAAUUCCUGGUGUAGCGGUGAAAUGCGUAGAUAUCAGGAGGAACACCGGUGGCGAUGGCGACUUCCUGGACCAAUACUGACGCUGAGGCGCGAAGGCGUGGGGAGCAAACAGGAUUAGAUACCCUGGUAGUCCACGCAGUAAACGUUGAACACUAGGUGUAGCGGGUAUUGACCCCUGCUGUGCCGCAGCUAACGCAUUAAGUGUUCCGCCUGGGGAGUACGGCCGCAAGGCUAAAACUCAAAGUGAAUUGACGG